rnacentral:sRNA from 1 species
UAAGGGUCUGGCAGGACCCUCAAGCAGUGAAGUGGCUGGUCCGUCCCGGCGUUCGCGCUGUGCCCAUCAGGUAGUUCCCUUCCUUGAAGUUCCCGCAGGGCCGGUCAGGCUCUUUUUCAACUAUCAAGGAAACGGAAAUGAGUACAGGUACAGUGAAGUGGUUCAACGACGCCAAGGGAUUCGGUUUCAUCACUCCGGAUGGCGGUGGCAAGGAUCUUUUCGUGCACUUCUCGGCGAUCCAGGGCAGCGGCUUCAAGACGCUGGCUGAGAACCAGAAGGUGCAGUUCGAGACUGCGGACGGUCCGAAGGGACCGCAGGCGAUCAACAUCCGCCCGGUGGAGUAAGUGCCCCGGCGACCGCAGACGAAGCCCGGGAAGCCGGGCUUUUUU